UACAGAGGGUGCAAGCGUUGUUCGGAAUUAUUGGGCGUAAAGCGCGUGUAGGCGGCUUUGCAAGUCGGGUGUGAAAGCCCUCAGCUCAACUGAGGAAGUGCGCCCCGAAACUGCAGAGCUUGAGUACCGGAGAGGAUGGCGGAAUUCCCCCAAGUAGAGGUGAAAAUUCGUAGAUAUGGGGGAGGAACACCGGUGGCGAAGGCGGCCAUCUGGACGGAUACUGACGCUGAGACGCGAAAAGCGUGGGGUAGCAAAACAGG
rnacentral:rRNA from 1 species